UACGUAGGGUGCGAGCGUUAAUCGGAAUUACUGGGCGUAAAGCGUGCGCAGGCGGUUUUGUAAGCCAGAUGUGAAAUCCCCGGGCUUAACCUGGGAAUGGCAUUUGGGACUGCAAGGCUUGAGUGCGGCAGAGGAGACUGGAAUUCCUGGUGUAGCAGUGAAAUGCGUAGAUAUCGUGAGGAAUACCAAGUGCGAAGGCAGGACUCUGGACAUUUUCUGACGCUGAGACACGAAGGCUAGGGGAGCAAACGGG
rnacentral:rRNA from 1 species